AACGAACGCUGGCGGCAGGCCUAACACAUGCAAGUCGAGCGCGCCCUUCGGGGUGAGCGGCGGACGGGUGAGUAACGCGUGGGAACGUACCCUUUUCUGCGGAAUAGCCUCUGGAAACGGAGAGUAAUACCGCAUACGCCCUUUUGGGGAAAGAUUUAUCGGGGAAGGAUCGGCCCGCGUUAGAUUAGGUAGUUGGUGGGGUAAUGGCCUACCAAGCCUACGAUCUAUAGCUGGUUUUAGAGGAUGAUCAGCCACACUGGGACUGAGACACGGCCCAGACUCCU
rnacentral:rRNA from 1 species